CCCGCUCAGAAACUUAAAGGAAGUUGACCGGGGGCCCGCACAAGCGGUGGAGCAUGUGGUUUAAUUCGAUGAUACGCGAGGAACCUUACCUGGGCUCAAAUGUAUGUUGACGUAUUCUGAAAGGGAUACUUCUUCGGACAAUAUACAAGGUGCUGCAUGGUUGUCGUCAGCUCGUGCCGUGAGGUGUCGGGUUAAGUCCCAUAACGAGCGCAACCCCUAUCAUUAGUUGCCAUCAGGUCAAGCUGGGGACUCUAAUGAAACUGCCUACGCAAGUAGUGAGGAAGGUGGGGAUGACGUCAAAUCAGCACGGCCCUUAUGUCCUGGGCUACACACGUGCUACAAUGGCCGGUACAGAGCGCAGCGAGGCCGCGAGGCGGAGCGAAUCGCUUAAAGCCGGUCCCAGUACGGAUUGGAGUCUGCAACCCGACUCCAUGAAGUUGGAAUCGCUAGUAAUCGCGCAUCAGCAUGGCGCGGUGAAUACGUUCCCGGGCCUU
rnacentral:rRNA from 1 species